rnacentral:rRNA from 1 species
UUCCGGUUGAUCCUGCCGGACCUGACUGCUAUCGGAUUAAUACUAAGCCAUGCGAGUUUUUGUAGUAAUACAAGGCAUACGGCUCAGUAACACGUAGUCAACCUACCCUAUGGACGAGGAUAAUCUCGGGAAACUGAGCAUAAUACUCGAUAGAUCAUAAUGCCUGGAAUGGUUUAUGGUUGAAAUGAUUCGUCGCCAUAGGAUGGGACUGCGUCCUAUCAGCUUGUUGGUGAGGUAAUGGCCCACCAAGGCGAUUACAGGUACGGGCUCUGAGAGGAGAAGCCCGGAGAUGGGUACUGAGACACGGACCCAGGCCCUAUGGGGCGCAGCAGGCGAGAAAACUUUGCAAUGUGCGAAAGCACGACAAGGUUAGUCCGAGUGAUUUCUGCUAAAGAGAUCUUUUGCAAGUCAUAAAACCACUAGUGAAUAAGGGGUGGGCAAGUUCUGGUGUCAGCCGCCGCGGUAAAACCAGCACCUCAAGUGGUCAGGAGGAUUAUUGGGCCUAGAGCAUCCGUAGCCGGCUCUGUAAGUUUUCGGUUAAAUCCAUGCGCUCAACGCAUGGGCUGUCGGAAAUACUUGCAUAGCUAGGGAGUGGGAGAGGUAGACGGUACUCAGUAGGAAGGGGUAAAAUCCUUUGAUCUAUUGAUGACCACCUGUGGCGAAGGCGGUCUACCAGAACACGUUCGACCGGUGAGGGAUGAAAGCUGGGGGAGCAAACCGGAUUAGAUACCCGGGUAGUCCCAGCUGUAAACGAUGCAGACUCGAUGAUGCAUUGGCAUAUAGCCAGUGCAGUGUCGCAGGGAAGCCGUUAAGUCUGCCGCCUGGGAAGUACGUACGCAAGUAUGAAACUUAAAGGAAUUGGCGGGGGAGCACCACAAGGGGUGAAGCCUGCGGUUCAAUUGGAUUCAACGCCGGA